rnacentral:misc_RNA from 1 species
AAGUCGUAACAAGGUUUCCGUAGGUGAACCUGCGGAAGGAUCAUUACCGAACUUGUGAUACGCUCACGCAAACCGAGAGCAGGCCGCGCGUCGUUCGACGUGCGGUCAGGGCGACUGCUCUUGCAGUCGCCAGCGCCGUCCCCUCAGCAAUGAGGCGCUCUUCCCGUCGCCCGACGGGAGAAAGGACGGACCGGUGUUUCACCGACCCUUGUGCUUGGAAAGGAACCUGAAUGCAGAAACAACUGCAAACGGUGGAUCACUCGGCUC